rnacentral:rRNA from 1 species
UACAGAGGUCUCAAGCGUUGUUCGGAUUCAUUGGGCGUAAAGGGUGCGUAGGUGGCGUGGUAAGUCUGGUGUGAAAUCCCGGGGCUCAACCCCGGAACUGCACUGGAUACUGCCAUGCUUGAGUACUGGAGAGGAGAUUGGAAUUUACGGUGUAGCAGUGAAAUGCGUAGAUAUCGUAAGGAAGACCAGUGGAGAAGGCGAAUCUCUGGACAGUUACUGACACUGAGGCACGAAGGCCAGGGGAGCAAAC